UGAAAGGUAAAUACACGAAGUAAUAAAACCGUGCAAUUUAAUACACAAACAAGUAAUUGUUGUUAUUUUCAUACUCACGAUCUCACAACAAAAAUAAAAUUUCAAUUUUACCCUUACCAUCUCAAUUAACUAUUAAUUUUUAUAAUA
rnacentral:sRNA from 1 species